rnacentral:miRNA from 1 species
UGUGUGUGUGUGUGUGUGUGUGUGUGUGUGCAUGCUCAUGUUUCUUUUUGAAACAGAGGGUUAGAGAACCCUCAUGAUAAA